CUAGGCUCUAGUAAACCGCUACUCGCCCGGCCACAGCAGAGUCCGAGUCCGUGUGGGAGUGGCCUUUGCUGGUGAUUUUAUUCCUCUCCUUCCCUCAUCCCUGUCGCGUCCCUCUGCUCCAUUUCUCCCAAUCUCCCACCUCUCUCUCUCCCUCCCUCCCUUCGAUCCACCCGUCAUCUCACCGUCUUGGCUUCCUCCUCGGCCCGAAAUUCCUCUGCUUCAAUGGAAAUCGAUGAUCCAAAGAACCAUCCGUGGAGGCCCAUGUAUCUCUACUACACGCAGGGUAGAUGCACCAAUGAAGUGAGAUGGUGUCACCACUUAUUGAGAAAGAGAAAGUUUCAAGUUUCAACUAGCUUGGGAGCGAGGAGGGCUACAGAUGCCUGGACAGAAUUGAAAGUCAUCACUUGGAAGGUUGGGAUGAGCCUCAAGCCUUAAUUGACUCAUCUUGGAACUUGGACUAGUGGGGAUUCAGAUUUGAAGACAAAGAUCCCUGACAGCGCAUGGUUUUUAGGAUAAAGAUAACCCUUCAUGGAGUUGAUUAAUAGAGGACAUUUACCUCAAUUUUUGCAUAGAGUGUCAACAGGAAUGAUGACAAUGAUGAGGCAACUUGAGAUUGCAUUGUCAGGAAGUCACCAUCUUGAUAGCAUGAUGCUAAGAAUAUAGCAAGAGUUGUUCAACAUAUGCCCACCAAUGGUGUCGUCUUUCUGAUUACUGCAAGCAGGUGCACUUCAAAUCCUCAUAUGGUAAAGUUUCUUUCCAAAUCGAAUCGGAUGAUAUUAAUUAUGCAUUGGAAAGUUUCAAACUAUAGAGAAGCAUGAUGGAAUCACAAAGGGUUUCAAAAGUGGACUUUGAAGUGAAACAAGUUUAGAAGGUCUGAUCUAAAAUCAGCAGUUGUAGGCCCAGACCCAGUUGCAGCCCCGACUUGCAUGUUUACCACUGUGCACAUUGGUAUUAGAUGCUGGUAAGGGAAGAGAGUGAUCUAGGUUAUAAAAGGAAUGAAAGGAUAUCAGUCUUAUAAAUGCCUCAUCUGCUUUUAUACACAUGAUACUGUCUCAAUAUUGUACAGCAAAAGUUAAAGGCUGAGACUUUUUACAACUCCUCUUAAAGCAGUUUUUAGGGAUAGAUACGGGCAAAACAAUAAAAUGCCAACAGUAUUUUUCUACAUGGAACAUCACAACUAUAUCAAUCUGUCUCAGAUUAGCAAUUUCCUUCGGAAGCUUGGGCUUCCAGCAUUGGAAGUUUUAUAAAAUCAGGAGGCCAUCACAGUGAGCUCAAGCAGUUCACUUUGACUGUCGACUCCUUGUCGAGAACUCACUGCUUUGCCGCCUCCACCAUCCGAAAGAAAUCUCACCAUCAUUAGGCAUGGCACCAUAUUGAAUGAUCUCUUCUACCACUUUCUGGACUUCCAAAAGUUCUAGUCUUCCCGAGGGAUACUUGAAUUCCGUCUCGCAUGUUGUGUGCUUGUAGGAUGAUGAAGCUUUGGCUGGGAGAGAUGGUAAGGAGGGUGCCAUUGUUUUGUGCCUGUAGGAUGAUGAAGCUUCAUCUUGUAGAGAGGUUAAUGAGGAAGCUGCUGUUGCAUGCCUAUAAGAUGUUGAAGCUUUUGCCGGGAGAGAAGGUACCAAGGAUCCCAUUGCUGUGUUUCUAUAAGAUGAUGGUGCUUUGGAUGGGAGAAAAGGUAAGGAGGGUGCUGCUGCCAUGCGUCUCUGAGAUGAAGAAGAUUCAGUUGGGAAUGAAGGUGAGGGUGCUGCUGAAGGGCUUGAGGGAAGGGAUCUCUGCUUAGCUAGGUUCUUCUUUGCUCUCCUGUGCCAGUUCUUCAGGCCAUCAAUGAUGCGGUCUGUGAAGAUUGUCUCUUUCAUCGAAGAGCCCAUCUGACCAGAAGAGAUGGAACCAGUGAACAAGUAGCCACACAGGAAAGCUUGUAGUUCUGCUCAUAUAUUACUAUCUCUACCUGGGUGACUAAUGCAUAUAAUGGAAGAGUGACAUAGGUGCAGAAGAACUGAACCAUAAUGCCAAAGCCGAUAGUUAAGACAACAUCCUCCACAUUGUUAUAGAAACAGGACCAGAGUCCAAAGUUGUACUGCAUUGCAAGCAAGUUAGAAUUGUUUUGAUGCAGGUGCAUCCUUAAUGAUGAGUAUCACAUUUGCAGACUCACCCACGUCCAUGUGAAGAAUGCAAGCUGAAAGGAGUUCUGCAAUUGGCCAAGAAUCCACAUCAGCAGGGUAACUACGAUGGUGCAAAAGAGCAACAGCAUAUCUGAGUGCUUUAAACCAAAAAUAACAAAUUGGAAGGUACGAAGGUUUCUUGUGCUAAAUAUCUCUAUCAAACUUGAUAUAGCUUCUCAUUCUCUUUAGUAUCAUCCAACUAUAUAUUGGUUGUAACAGGUAACUAACUUUUGAUCUCUGAAUAUUUUCUUAUGAUAAUAUGUUCCAACAUGUUCUCCAUCAAGAACACUAGUAUAGUUCACCUGGAUCAGGAUGAAUUGGAUGAGAUGCAAUAGCAAUUGAGGUCGGCCAAACCAGAAUAAGUUAUCAUCAGGCUUCACACAUACUGUCCCUGGAACAAUCACAAUCUGUUCACUGCUCUUUAAGCACAUUUUGGUUAUGAUGACCUCUAGCUUCGUUCCUACAACCAAAAGGACCUGCAGCAAGGGUGAAAUCCUCUUCCUUUGUUAGAAGCCUUUACUCAUAGGCAAGAUAGGGUGUUAUGUGAGCUCACCACCAAGGGAAUAAAAGGAAGCCAAUAGUGGUUAUAGAAUCCUGUAACCAAAUUGAA